AUUGAACGCUGGCGGCAGGCCUAACACAUGCAAGUCGAGCGGAGCGGCGGACGGGUGAUUAAUGCCUAGGAAUCUGCCUGGUAGUGGGGGAUAACGUCCGGAAACGGGCGCUAAUACCGCAUACUAUCAGAUGAGCCUAGGUCGGAUUAGCUAGUUGGUGGGGUAAAGGCAUACCAAGGCGACGAUCCGUAACUGGUCUGAGAGGAUGAUCAGUCACACUGGAACUGAGACGCGGUCCAGACUCCUACGGGAGGGAGCAGUGGUGACUAUUGGGCAAUGGACGAAAGUCUGAUCCAGCCACGCCGCGUUUGUGAAGAAGGUCUUCGGAUUGGAAAGCACUUUAGGUUUGGAGGCGUUAUCAACAGAAUAAGCACCGGCUAACUUCGUGCCAGCAGCCGCGGUAAUUC
rnacentral:rRNA from 1 species